UACGUAGGGUGCGAGCGUUGUCCGGAUUUAUUGGGUUUAAAGGGUGCGUAGGUGGUUAAUUAAGUCAGCGGUGAAAUGCAGAUGCUCAACAUCUAAAUUGCCAUUGAUACUGGUUGACUUGAGUACGGUAGAGGUUGGUGGAAUGGAUGGUGUAGCGGUGAAAUGCAUAGAUAUCAUCCAGAACGUCAAUUGCGAAGGCAGCUGACUAUGCCGUUACUGACACUGAGGCACGAAAGUGUGGGGAUCAAACAGG
rnacentral:rRNA from 1 species